rnacentral:tRNA from 1 species
CCCUGUCUGGCGCAACUGAUAGCGCAGCGGACUCUUACUCCGACGGUUGUGGGUUUGACUCCCACGGCAGGGACCA